rnacentral:piRNA from 1 species
UCCCUCAAAGGAUNUGCAAGGCUGCUUAC